CAGCCGCCGCGGUAAGACAGAGGAUGCAAGCGUUAUCUGGAAUGAUUGGGCGUAAAGCGUCUGUAGGUGGCUUUUCAAGUCCGCCGUCAAAUCCCAGGGCUCAACCCUGGACAGGCGGUGGAAACUACCAAGCUGGAGUACGGUAGGGGCAGAGGGAAUUUCCAGUGGAGCGGUGAAAUGCGUUGAGAUCGAAAAGAACACCAACAGCGAAAGCACUCUGCUGGGACGACACUGACGCUAAGAGACGAAAGCUAGGGAAGCAAAUGGGAUUAGAUACCCCCGUAGUCCCUGUCUCUUAUAC
rnacentral:rRNA from 1 species